rnacentral:rRNA from 1 species
UACGUAGGUGGCAAGCGUUAUCCGGAUUUACUGGGUGUAAAGGGCGUGUAGGCGGGAGAGCAAGUCAGACGUGAAAUUCCAGGGCUCAACCCUGGAACUGCGUUUGAAACUGUUCUUCUUGAGUGAUGGAGAGGCAGGCGGAAUUCCGUGUGUAGCGGUGAAAUGCGUAGAUAUACGGAGGAACAACAGUGGCGAAGGCGGCCUGCUGGACAUUAACUGACGCUGAGGCGCGAAAGCGUGGGGAGCAAACAGG